CCGGCGGCCCGACACAUGCAGCCGAGUUGGCUGGCUCGGAAGGGGGACAGAGUUGACCAUGACAGCGAGUGUGGCCAAGGUGACAGCUGCACGCCCGGAGCCAAGCGCGGCGUGGGCUGAAGCCCGGCGGCGGGUACGCCAACGCCGCGAGGACAUGCUGCGCCAUCCUGCAUUUCUGUCCAAGCAGCUCCCUCCCGAACCAGCGCACGACGACGGCGUCGCGGCCGUCUACGACAUCGCGGUUGCGCGUCGGCGCCGACCCGCUUGAGCGGUCCCCGACGCGUCAACGUCGCGCCGGCUGCCCGGUAAACCGGCAAUCGACGACCGAGCCUUGGCGGGCGCGUCGCGCUC
rnacentral:ncRNA from 1 species